GAUGAACGCUGGCGGCGUGCUUAACACAUGCAAGUCGAACGAUGAAGCCAGCUUGCUGGUGGAUUAGUGGCGAACGGGUGAGUAACACGUGAGUAACCUGCCCUUAACUCUGGGAUAAGCCUGGGAAACUGGGUCUAAUACCGGAUAUGACUCCUCAUCGCAUGGUGGGGGGUGGAAAGCGUUUGUGGUUUUGGAUGGACUCGCGGCCUAUCAGCUUGUUGGUGAGGUAAUGGCUCACCAAGGCGACGACGGGUAGCCGGCCUGAGAGGGUGACCGGCCACACUGGGACUGAGACACGGCCCAGACUCCUACGGGAGGCAGCAGUGGGGAAUAUUGCACAAUGGGCGGAAGCCUGAUGCAGCGACGCCGCGUGAGGGAUGACGGCCUUCGGGUUGUAAACCUCUUUCGGUAGGGAAGAAGCGUAAGUGACGGUACCUGCAGAAGAAGCGCCGGCUAACUACGUGCCAGCAGCCGCAGUAACAC
rnacentral:rRNA from 1 species